GACGAACGCUGGCGGCGUGCUUAACACAUGCAAGUCGAACGAAGAGCGAUGGAAGCUUGCUUCUAUCAAUCUUAGUGGCGCACGUGUGAGUCACGCGUAAUCAACCUGCCCUUCAGAGGGGUACCACCGUUGGACCCGACUGCUAAUCCCGCAUCCUAUCCAAUCUCGGCAUCGGGCCUGGAUGAACGGUGGCCUCUAUUUAUAAGCUAUCACUGAAGCAGGGGAUUGCGUCUGAUUAGCUAGUUGGUGGGGUAACGGCCCACCAAUGGGAUGAUCAGUAGCCGGUCUGAGAGGAGGAACGGCCACAAUGGGACUGAGACACGGCCCAGACUCCUACGGGAGGGAGCAGUGGGGAAUCUUCCGGAAUGGAGGAAAGGCUGAAGGAGGAACGGCGCGUGAGGGAUGACGGGCUUCGGGUUGUAAAGCUCCGUUAAUCGGGAAGAAAGGUACUUGUGCGAAAAGUGCGAGGAUUUGACGGUACCGGAAUAGAAAGCCACGGCUAACUACGUG
rnacentral:rRNA from 1 species